UUCCCUCCAAGACUGCUCGUCGCACUCCGUUCUUCUGCUCUGAAUUUCCUUUUCCUCCGAGAGCUUCUUCAGAGAGCUUCUUCUGCGAGAUUCUUCCAAGAGCUUCAAGAUCCAUUGGUGAAAAGGAAAAUGGAAAAUGAUCUCAUGCUUACAACACUGAAAUCUAACCAUUUUAUGGUAAAAAAUGCCGAAGAAACUUUUAAAGAAUACAGAUUGCAGGCAUUUCUCAAGUCCCGAGAAUCUGAUAAUGAAGUACUUUCGGCCACAAUUCCAAUACUAUCAAAUGAUGGUCUGAAAAUGCUUGAGGUUAUGGUAAAAGAGAAGCUUGACGAGACGCUCACAGAGGCAGAAAGCCGGGCCGUCUUCCAACGAACUGAACAUGGAUUGAAGCACGAAAGCCUCAAGAGAGGUUUGGAUCCAUUAUGGAGGCUAUCUCUACUUUUGAUGCUGAGCCCCUGCUACAUAUUGAAAAAAGCAUGCUGAAAGUUGAAGGGAAGUUACUUCCAGCAGCAAAGUUGAUGUUUGGUGGUCCCCGCGAGUUUUAGCCCUCUUUAGUGACGAAGGAGUAGAAUGAAUAUAUAAAGGAAGCAACGAAGUUAGGGGGGAGAGAAUGUGGAAAAGACUGAAAUUAGGCAAAAAGCCGGUACAACUUAUAUUAUGCCUUUUGCCUAAAAGGUCAAAACUAUUUCAUUUCGUGACUGGAAGAAGCUUUGUCUGAGGCAUCAAAUCGUGAGCCAAUGUCUGUCAUCCAUAAAAGAGAAUGUUUGGAAAGAUAUGCUGACGAAGAUUAAUGUCAAACUAGGAGGACUGAAUUUCAAGACCAGUUAUGUUCUGCCCCACAUGAUACAAUACUACCCUGCUUUAAUUUCGGGCGUGUAUGCACUUAAAAUAGGACUCGCGCCUCCUUUAGUCUCGACUCUUUUUUGAGCAUAUACUUCUGAUGAUAUCUGCAUGCCCGUUAGUCCUUUGUUCAUAUCAAAGAAGGUACCGUUAGUCCUUUGUUCAUAUCAAAGAAGGUACCGUUAGUCCUUUGUUCAUAUCAGAGAAGGUGUACCAGAACCUUAACGAGUCUUUUUUAGCAUAUACUUCUAAUGAUGUUUGCAUGCCCAUUAGUCUUUUAUUUCUGAUGAUGUCUGCAUUCCUUGUUCAUAUCAAGAAGUUGUAACAGAACCUCAGCCGGUCUUUUUUGAGAUAUAUACUUGUGAUAAUCUCUGCAUGCAUUUGUUCAUAUCAAGAAAUAUGUAACAGAACAUCAUGUACAGUAUUGCCUUAAGUUCUCCAAUUAGAGCAAAAUGGAACUCUGAUUUCAUCGUAUGUAUGCAAAAUAACCUUAUAGUCUAUCUUCACUCUAUUACUCACUGAGCGCCUAGCUUGUCUGGAUUUUUCUAUCUCCACUGGACUUAAUUUCUCAAUGGUCUUCUCCAAAAACAUUAGUGAGCGACUAGUGCUAUAUGCUCUCUGUACCGACCUUUCAUCCUUCUGGGACUCCGUCUUUAGCCGGGCAGAAACGGGUAGAGCCCUUUUACUGCUCCGUGCUGCUGGAGUUUUGGGAACAACCUCAGUCCUUUCUUAUUGCUGAUCGGUUUCCUUCUUGUUGAGGUUCUGCAAGAUGGUCGAACUUUAAAGAACAUCUAGCAAUUCAAUCACGGCUUCCUCAGGAAACUUUUGGAGUUUCAGAUUUGGAUUCUUCCAAGAAUUCUUCGAGCCCUUCAACGUUGGAAAAUAAUUUGCAAGAUAAGUGAUUGAGAAAGGUGUCCCUGCGAUGAGUUGAACACGUUAGCUGAUAAGGGGCAAGAUA